UUAGACGGGGCCCGGCGACAAGCGGUGGAGUAUGUGGUUUAAUUCGAUGCAACGCGAAGAACCUUACCUGGUCUUGACAUCCCGGAGACCCUUAGGAACUAGGGGUGCUUCCAUCUGGAAGAAUCUGGAGACAGGUGCUGCAUGGCUGUCGUCAGCUCGUGUCGUGAGAUGUUGGGUUUAAGUCCCGCAACGAGCGCAACCCUUGCCUUUAGUUGCCAGCAGUUCGGCUGGGCACUCUAAAGGGACUGCCGGUGUUAAACCGGAGGAAGGUGGGGAUGACGUCAAGUCCUCAUGGCCUUUAUGACCAGGGCUACACACGUACUACAAUGGCCGAUACAAAGGGCAGCGACACUGCGAGGUGAAGCCAAUCCCGUAAAAUCGGUCUCAGUCCGGAUUGGAGUCUGCAACUCGACUCCAUGAAGUUGGAAUCGCUAGUAAUCGUGGAUCAGCAUGCCACGGUGAAUACGUUCCCGGGCCUU
rnacentral:rRNA from 1 species